rnacentral:rRNA from 1 species
UGGGGAAUCUUGGACAAUGGGGGCAACCCUGAUCCAGCCAUGCCGCGUGAGUGAUGAAGGCCUUAGGGUUGUAAAGCUCUUUCACCGGUGAAGAUAAUGACGGUAGCCGGAGAAGAAGCCCCGGCUAACUCCGUGCCAGCAGCCGCGGUAAUACGGAGGGGGCUAGCGUUGUUCGGAAUUACUGGGCGUAAAGCGCGCGUAGGCGGACUGAUCAGUCAGGGGUGAAAUCCCGGGGCUCAACCCCGGAACUGCCUCCAAAACUAUUGGUCUAGAGUUCGAGAGAGGUGAGUGGAAUUCCAAGUGUAGAGGUGAAAUUCGUAGAUAUUUGGAGGAACACCAGUGGCGAAGGCGGCUCACUGGCUCGAUACUGACGCUGAGGUGCGAAAGUGUGGGGAGCAAACAGGAUUAGAUACCCUGGUAGUCCACACCGUAAACGAUGAAUGCCAGUCGUCGGGUAGCAUGCUAUUCGGUGACACACCUAACGGAUUAAGCAUUCCGCCUGGGAGUACGGUCGCAAGAUUAAAAGCUCAAAUGAAUUGA